rnacentral:siRNA from 1 species
AGGUCGUGGUCGUGGCCGAGGA